rnacentral:rRNA from 1 species
AUACCAAUACUUUAAGUUUAUAUUUAUAUAGUAUAAAAUAAAGUGAUGAGAUUAAAAACAGUUAGGAUUAAUGAGAAUGGCAGUUGUAGGUAAAAUUUAAUUGCUUUUAUUGAUUACAUAAUUCUACUUUCAGAUUCUUUGAAAAUAAGGGUUAGUAAACUAGGAUUAGAGACCCUAUUAUUCUUUAUUUUAAAAAUUUUAAUACUUAAGUAGUAAGAACUUAAAUGUAAUUUAUUUAAAUUUAUAUGAUGUUUGAAACUUAAAAGGCUUGGCGGUGUUAUAUAUCCUUCCAGGGGAGCUUGCUUAUUAAUUUGAUAAUCCUCAAUUUAUACUUACUUUUUUUUGAAUUGUUAACAAUUUGUGUAUUGCUGUCGUCAGUUUAUUUUGUAAAAAUUUUGGAAAAAACUUAAUAACUUAUUGGUUAUG